GCCAGGUGUGGUGGUGCGCGCCUGUAAUCCCAGUUACUUGGGAGGCUGAGGCAGGAGAAUCACUUGAGCCCAGGAGGUGGACGUUGCAGUGAGUGGAGAUGGCGCCACUGCACUUUAGCCUGGGUGACAGAGCGAGACUCUGUCUCAA
ensembl:misc_RNA Metazoa_SRP Metazoan signal recognition particle RNA